rnacentral:rRNA from 1 species
UACGGAGGAUGCGAGCGUUAUCCGGAUUUAUUGGGUUUAAAGGGUGCGCAGGCGGGGGAUUAAGUCGGCGGUGAAAUUUUGCAGCUCAACUGUAAAAGUGCCUUCGAAACUGGUUUCCUUGAGUGUAGAUGAAGUAGGCGGAAUUUGUGGUGUAGCGGUGAAAUGCAUAGAUAUCACGAGGAACUCCGAUUGCGCAGGCAGCUUACUAAACUACUACUGACGCUCAGGCACGAAGGCGUGGGGAUCAAACAGGAUUAGAUACCCCGGUAGUCCCU